AAAGACAGGAAUGUGGUUGCUCAGCUUGUCAGAAGAGCUGAGAGGGCUGGAUUCAAGGCAAUUGCCCUCACUGUGGAUACUCCAAGACUUGGCCGAAGAGAAGCUGACAUCAAGAACAGAUUUACUUUGCCACCAUUUUUGACUCUGAAGAACUUUGAGGGCCUGGAUCUUGGCAAAAUGGACAAGGCCGAUGACUCUGGACUUGCUUCAUAUGUUGCUGGCCAAAUUGACAGGACACUUAGCUGGAAGGAUGUGAAGUGGCU
rnacentral:misc_RNA from 1 species